AUUGAACGCUGGCGGCAGGCCUAACACAUGCAAGUCGAGCGGAUGAAGGGAGCUUGCUCCUGGAUUCAGCGGCGGACGGGUGAGUAAUGCCUAGGAAUCUGCCUGGUAGUGGGGGAUAACGUCCGGAAACGGGCGCUAAUACCGCAUACGUCCUGAGGGAGAAAGUGGGGGAUCUUCGGACCUCACGCUAUCAGAUGAGCCUAGGUCGGAUUAGCUAGUUGGUGGGGUAAAGGCCUACCAAGGCGACGAUCCGUAACUGGUCUGAGAGGAUGAUCAGUCACACUGGAACUGCGACACGGUCCAGACUCCUACGGGAGGCAGCAGUGGGGAAUAUUGGACAAUGGGCGAAAGCCUGAUCCAGCCAUGCCGCGUGUGUGAAGAAGGUCUUCGGAUUGUAAAGCACUUUAAGUUGGGAGGAAGGGCAGUAAGUUAAUACCUUGCUGUUUUGACGUUACCAACAGAAUAAGCACCGGCUAGCUUCGUG
rnacentral:rRNA from 1 species